rnacentral:rRNA from 1 species
UACAGAGGGGGCAAGCGUUGUUCGGAAUUACUGGGCGUAAAGGGCGCGUAGGCGGCCUUCUAAGUCGAACGUGAAAUCCCCGGGCUCAACCCGGGAACUGCGUCCGAUACUGGAAGGCUUGAAUCCGGGAGAGGGAUGCGGAAUUCCAGGUGUAGCGGUGAAAUGCGUAGAUAUCUGGAGGAACACCGGUGGCGAAGGCGGCAUCCUGGACCAACACUGACACUGAAAAGCGAAAGCCAGGGGAGCAAACGGG